rnacentral:rRNA from 1 species
GACGUAGGGGGCGAGCGUUGUCCGGAUUUAUUGGGCGUAAAGCGUGCGUAGGCGGCUGCGCAAGUCGGGUGUGAAACCCCGGGGCUCAACCCCGGAACUGCAUCCGAUACUGCGUGGCUAGAGGUAGGUAGGGGAGAUCGGAAUUCCUGGUGUAGCGGUGAAAUGCGCAGAUAUCAGGAGGAACACCGGUGGCGAAGGCGGAUCUCUGGGCCUUACCUGACGCUGAGACGCGAAAGCGUGGGGAGCGAACCGG